GCAUAUCAAUAAGCGGAGGAAAAGAAACCAACAGGGAUUGCCCUAGUAACGGCGAGUGAAGCGGCAACAGCUCAAAUUUGAAAUCUGGCGCAAGCCCGAGUUGUAAUUUGUAGAGGAUGCUUCUGGGCAGCGGCCGGUCUAAGUUCCUUGGAACAGGACGUCACAGAGGGUGAGAAUCCCGUAUGUGACCGGCGCGCACCCUCCACGUAGCUCCUUCGACGAGUCGAGUUGUUUGGGAAUGCAGCUCUAAAUGGGAGGUAAAUUUCUUCUAAAGCUAAAUACCGGCCAGAGACCGAUAGCGCACAAGUAGAGUGAUCGAAAGAUGAAAAGCACUUUGGAAAGAGAGUUAAAAAGCACGUGAAAUUGUUGAAAGGGAAGCGCUUGCAACCAGACUCCGCGGCGGUGUUCCGCCGGUCUUCUGACCGGUCCACUCGCCGCCGUGGGGCCAACAUCGUCUGGGGCCGCCGGACAAGACUGGAGGAAUGUAGCUCCCUCGGGAGUGUUAUAGCCUUCAGUGAUGCGGCGCGUCCCGGGCGAGGUCCGCGCUUCGGCAAGGAUGUUGGCGUAAUGGUUGCCAGCGGCCCGUCUUGAAACACGGACCAAGGAGUCUAACAUCUAUGCGAGUGUUCGGGUGUCAAACCCCUACGCGUAAUGAAAGUGAACGGAGGUGGGAGCUUCGGCGCACCAUCGACCGAUCCUGAUGUCCUCGGAUGGAUUUGAGUAAGAGCAUAGCUGUUGGGACCCGAAAGAUGGUGAACUAUGCCUGAAUAGGGUGAAGCCAGAGGAAACUCUGGUGGAGGCUCGCAGCGGUUCUGACGUGCAAAUCGAUCGUCAAAUUUGGGUAUAGGGGCGAAAGACUAAUCGAACCAUCUAGUAUCUGGUUCCCUGCC
rnacentral:rRNA from 1 species